UACGGGGGGGCAAGCGUUGUUCGGAAUUACUGGGCGUAAAGGGCUCGUAGGCGGCCAACUAAGUCAGACGUGAAAUCCCUCGGCUUAACCGGGGAACUGCCGUCUGAUACUGGAUGGCGUUGAGGUUGGGAGAGGGAUGCGGAAUUCCAGGUGUAGCGGUAGAAAUGCGUAGAUAUCUGGAGGAACACCGGUGGCGAAGGCGGCAUCCUGGACCAAUUCUGACGCUGAGUGAGCGAAAGCCAGGGGGAGCAAACGGG
rnacentral:rRNA from 1 species